CAGUCGCCACGGUAAUACGAAGGUCCCGAGCGUUGUUCGGAACCACUGGGCGUAAAGGGAGCGUAGGCGGCGUGGUAAGUCAGAUGUGAAAUCCCGGGGCUCAACCCCGGAACUGCAUCCGAUACUGCCAUGCUAGAGGAUUGGAGAGGUAGCUGGAAUUCUUGGUGUAGCAGUGAAAUGCGUGGAGAUCAAGAGGAACACUCGUGGCGAAAGCGAGCUACUGGACAAUAACUGACGCUGAGGCUCGAAGGCCAGGGUAGCGAAAGGGAUUAGAGACCCGUGUAGUCCCUGUCUCUUAUAC
rnacentral:rRNA from 1 species